rnacentral:misc_RNA from 1 species
CCAACUGUUUGGCAACUCCGACCCGACAUUGAAAUGGUUGCCAUCAUAUUCUCGGCCAUAUUUGGUAGUGUGGUUCGCAUUGGAGUCCAUGUAUGGUGUUUGGAAAGGAAAGGGCCAGUUUAUGUUGCAAUGUUCAAGCCCCUUGGCAUGGUCGUCGCCAUCCCCUUGGUUGUCAUCUUUCUUCAUGAACCGCUUUAUCUUGGCAGUGUGAUGGGUUCGAUUGUGAUUGGGUGUGGAUUUUAUAGUGUGAUAUGGGGGCAGAUGAAACAACUAGACUUGGCCAUGGCCUUACCUUCUUCUACUUCUGAAUCACCAUCUGCCUCGCUCUUGCUUCACCAACACUCUUAAAUUAUCCACUUUCCAUUCUCAUUUAUGGAUAUGGUAAAUAUUUAAUUACUUCAAAAGAAAAA